AGUACUGACGCUGAGAUGCGAAAGCGUAGGGAGCAAACAGGAUUAGAUACCCUGGUAGUCCACGCUGUAAACGAUGUCGAUUUGGAGUUUGUUGCCUAGAGUGAUGGGCUCCGAAGCUAACGCGAUAAAUCGACCGCCUGGGGAGUACGGCCGCAAGGUUAAAACUCAAAUGAAUUGACGGGGGCCCGCACAAGCGGUGGAGCAUGUGGUUUAAUUCGAUGCAACGCGAAGAACCUUACCUGGUCUUGACAUCCAUAGAAUUCUGCAGAGAUGUGGGAGUGCCUUCGGGAACUAUGAGACAGGUGCUGCAUGGCUGUCGUCAGCUCGUGUUGUGAAAUGUUGGGUUAAGUCCCGCAACGAGCGCAACCCUUAUUCUUUGUUGCCAGCGAUUUGGUCGGGAACUCAAAGGAGACUGCCGUUGAUAAAGCGGAGGAAGGUGGGGACGACGUCAAGUCAUCAUGGCCCUUACGACCAGGGCUACACACGUGCUACAAUGGCGUAUACAAAGGGAAGCGAAGGUGCGAGCUGGAGCGGAUCUCAUAAAGUACGUCUAAGUUCGGAUUGGAGUCUGCAACUCGACUCCAUGAAGUCGGAAUCGCUAGUAAUCGUAGAUCAGAAUGCUACGGUGAAUACGUUCCCGGGCCUUGUACACACCGCCCGUCACACCAUGGGAGUGGGUUGCACCAGAAGUAGAUAGCUUAACCGCGAGGGGGGCGUUUACCACGGUGUGACUCAUGACUGGGGUGAAGUCGUAACAAGGUAACCA
rnacentral:rRNA from 1 species